UAGUGGCAGACGGGUGAGUAAUGCAUAGGAAUCUGCCCAGUAGUAUGGGAUAGCCACUAGAAAUGGUGGGUAAUACUGUAUACGCCCUGCGGGGGAAAGAUUUAUCGCUACUGGAUGAGCCUAUGUUAGAUUAGCUAGUUGGUAGGGUAAAGGCCUACCAAGGCAGUGAUCUAUAGCUGGUCUGAGAGGAUGAUCAGCCACACUGGAACUGAGAUACGGUCCAGACUCCUACGGGAGGCAGCAGUGGGGAAUAUUGGACAAUGGGCGCAAGCCUGAUCCAGCUAUGCCGCGUGAGUGAGGAAGGCCUUAGGGUUGUAAAACUCUUUCAGCGGGGAAGAUAAUGACGGUACCCGCAGAAGAAGUCCCGGCAAACUCCGUGCCAGCAGCCGCGGUAAUACGGAGGGGGCAAGCGUUGUUCGGAAUUAUUGGGCGUAAAGGGCAUGUAGGCGGUUUGGUGAGUUAAAGGUGAAAUGC
rnacentral:rRNA from 1 species